GUUCCUACGGGGGGCAGCAGUCGAGAAUCAUUCACAAUGGGGGAAACCCUGAUGGUGCGACGCCGCGUGGGGGAAUGAAGGUCUUCGGAUUGUAAACCCUUGUCAUGUGGGAGCAAAUUAAAAAGAUAGUACCACAAGAGGAAGAGACGGCUAACUCUGUGCCAGCAGCCGCGGUAAUACAGAGGUCUCAAGCGUUGUUCGGAAUCACUGGGCGCAAAGCGUGCGUAGGCUGUUUCGUAAGUCGUGUGUGAAAUGCGCGGGCUCAACCUGCGGCCGGCACAUGCUACUGCGUGACU
rnacentral:rRNA from 1 species